GCUCCAGAUCUCAUUACAGAUGGUUGUGAGCCCCCAUGUGGUUGCUGGGAAUUGAACUCAGAACCUCUGGGAGAGCAGCCUCUUAACCCCUGAGCCAUCUCUCCAAGCCCUCUAGGGUAGUUUUU